rnacentral:rRNA from 1 species
AUGAAGCAUAUGAAGCUUGGUUCCAAGCCGGAUGUCUUUCAGACAGAGGGCAGCAAUAUCAGGUUUGUUGCAACAGAGCUGGCAACAGACAUCGUUAUCUCCAUAGGAGAUGUCAAGUUUUAUCUUCACAAGUUCCCUCUUUUGUCAAAGAGUUCACGGUUGCAAAGAUUAGUAGCUUCAAGUAACGAGGAAAGCGACGAUGAAGUGAAUAUAUCUGACAUUCCUGGUGGUUCUUCUGCAUUUGAAAUUUGUGCCAAGUUCUGCUACGGCAUGAUUGUAACACUCAAUGCAUAUAAUGUUCUUGCUGCUCGUUGCGCAGCUGAGUACCUAGAAAUGUUUGAGACCAUUGACAAAGGAAAUCUUAUCUACAAAAUUGACGUGUUCUUGACAUCGAGCAUUUUUCGCACCUGGAAAGACUCAAUCAUAGUUCUGCAAAGUACGAAGUCAUUGCUGCCAUGGUCUGAGAAUUUGAAGGUAAUCAACCACUGCAUUGAUUCUAUUGCAUCGAAGGCGUCAAUUGAUCCGUCAGAGGUUGAGUGGUCAUACACCUACAACAGAAAAAAGCUCCAAUCCGAGAAUGGUGUUGAUUCUCACUGGAAUGGAGUCAGGAUGCAACAGAUGGUCCCUAAGGACUGGUGGGUUGAGGACCUUUCUGAACUUGAAAUGGAUUUGUACAAGCGUGUGCUCCUAACAAUCAAGGCAAAGGGAAGAACACCUGCUGUAGUUAUUGGAGAAGCACUAAGAGUCUAUGCAUUCCGACGGCUGUUUGGUUCCCUUGAAGAUGCCGUGAGCAAUGGAAUUGAUUGCACAAAACGUCGUGCAGUUCUCGAAAGCAUUGUAUUUCUGCUGCCCACUGAAAAAGGUUCAGUGUCAUGUGGUUUUCUUCUCAAGUUACUAAAUGCUGCAUGCUUGCUGGAAUCUGGUGAGUCUUAUCGUGAUAACUUGGUAAAGAGAAUAGGCACCCAACUGGAUGGUGCUUCAGUUCCAGACCUUCUUAUACCAGCAACCAGUGCUGAAAAUGGCGUGUAUAAUGUCGACGUGAUCAUGGCAAUAGUAGAGCAGUUCAUGUCACAUCAUAGUGAUAAUGGUAAAAUGACUUUUCAAGAUGAUGAUGAAAUUGUGGAAGUCGAGAAGUUUGCUUCUGUUUCCAGCACGUCAAAGCUGGCAGUUGCAAAGCUGAUCGAUGAAUAUCUUGGUGAGAUCGCUAAAGACCCUAACCUGCCUGUUCUGAAGUUCAUUGCACUUGCUGAAAUGGUGUCUGCCUCGUCCCGACAAAUGCAUGACGAACUAUACCAUGCCAUCGACAUGUAUCUAAAGGAGCACCCCAGCCUAUCAAAGAGCGAAAAGAAGAGAUUAUGUGGAUUGAUGGACUGCAAGAAGCUGUCCCAGGAGGCCUGCAUGCACGCGGUGCAGAAUGAACGGCUUCCUCUGCGUGUGGUUGUGCAAGUUCUCUUCUUUGAGCAAGUCCGAGCAUCAGACGCUUCUGCCAGGAGUGACUCUGGAGCCGACCUUUCAUCUGCUGUUCAUUCGCUUCUUCCCAGAGAGAAUGGCAACUCGUACGGCAGCUCCAGGUCAGCGGCCACAACAACAACGGAAGAGGAAGGUAGUGGAGUCCCGACAUCCAGCGACAUCAAUUCUUUCAGGUCGAUGCGGCUCGCCAACAACUGCGGUGGCAGCGAGAGGAGCAGCACCAGCAGCGACAUCAACAAGAACGGCGAAGACAAGAGCACCACCACCGGCAAGGCGAAAGUGAUGCUGAUGCCGAAGAUGCUAAGCAAGCUCUGGUCUGGGAAGGCGCACGUCGGUGAGAACAGUAGCUCGGACACGUCGGAGAGCCCCGGAUCCGCGAACCCGGAGGAGGUGAAGUCCACACCGUCACGGAACACGAGGCAAUCGACGUCCUAG